GAUGAACGCUGGCAGCGUGCCUAAUACAUGCAAGUCUAGCGAACAGACGAGGAGCUUGCUCCUCUGACGUUAACGGCGGACAGGUCAGUACUCCGUGGAAAACCUACCUAUUGGACUGGAAUGACUACGGGAAACCGGAGCUAAUAACGGAAACUAUAUUUAACCAAAGGGUUCAGUAGUGAAAGACAGCUUUGCGGUCACUUAGCGAGGGAUACACGCCGCAGUAGCUGAUUGCUAAGGUGAGGGCGUACCAAGGCGACGAUGCGUAGCCGACCGGAGAGGGUGAUUGGCCGCCCUGGAACUGAGACACGGUCCAGACGCCUACGGGAGGCAGCAGUAGGGAAUCUUCCGCAAUGGGCGAAAGCCUGACGGAGCAACGCCGCGUGAGUGAUGAAGGUCUUCGGAUCGUAAAACUCUGUUAUUAGGGAAGAACAAAUGUGUAAGUAACUAUGCACGUCUUGACGGUACCUAAUCAGAAAGCCACGGCUAACUACGUG
rnacentral:rRNA from 1 species